AACGAACGCUGGCGGCAUGCCUAACACAUGCAAGUCGAACGAGACCUUCGGGUCUAGUGGCGCACGGGUGCGUAACGCGUGGGAACCUGCCCUUAGGUUCGGAAUAACUCCCCGAAAGGGGUGCUAAUACCGGAUAAUGUCUUCGGACCAAAGAUUUAUCGCCUUUGGAUGGGCCCGCGUUGGAUUAGCUAGUUGGUAGGGUAAAAGCCUACCAAGGCGACGAUCCAUAGCUGGUCUGAGAGGAUGAUCAGCCACACUGGGACUGAGACACGGCCCAGACUCCUACGGGAGGCAGCAGUGGGGAAUAUUGGACAAUGGGCGAAAGCCUGAUCCAGCAAUGCCGCGUGAGUGAUGAAGGCCUUAGGGUUGUAAAGCUCUUUUACCCGGGAUGAAAUGACAGUACCGGGAGAAUAAGCGCCGGCUAACUCCGUG
rnacentral:rRNA from 1 species